UACGUAGGGUGCAAGCGUUAAUCGGAAUUACUGGGCGUAAAGCGUGCGCAGGCGGUUAUGCAAGACAGAUGUGAAAUCCCCGGGCUCAACCUGGGAACUGCAUUUGUGACUGCAUGGCUAGAGUACGGUAGAGGGGGAUGGAAUUCCGCGUGUAGCAGUGAAAUGCGUAGAUAUGCGGAGGAACACCGAUGGCGAAGGCAAUCCCCUGGACCUGUACCGACGCUCAUGCACGAAAGCGUGGGGAGCGAACAGG
rnacentral:rRNA from 1 species